rnacentral:rRNA from 1 species
GAUGAACGCUGGCGGCGUGCCUAAUACAUGCAAGUCGAGCGAACGGACGAGAAGCUUGCUUCUCUGAUGUUAGCGGCGGACGGGUGAGUAACACGUGGAUAACCUACCUAUAAGACUGGGAUAACUUCGGGAAACCGGAGCUAAUACCGGAUAAUAUUUUGAACCGCAUGGUUCAAAAGUGAAAGACGGUCUUGCUGUCACUUAUAGAUGGAUCCGCGCUGCAUUAGCUAGUUGGUAAGGUAACGGCUUACCAAGGCAACGAUGCAUAGCCGACCUGAGAGGGUGAUCGGCCACACUGGAACUGAGACACGGUCCAGACUCCUACGGGAGGCAGCAGUAGGGAAUCUUCCGCAAUGGGCGAAAGACUGACGGAGCAACGCCGCGUGAGUGAUGAAGGUCUUCGGAUAGUAAAACUCUGUUAUUAGGGAAGAACAUAUGUGUAAGUAACUGUGCACAUCUUGACGGUACCUAAUCAGAAAGCCACGGCUAACUACGUG